CCUGCUGAAUUUAAGCAUAUUAGUCAGUGGAGGAAAAGAAAUUAACCUGGACUCCCUCAGUAACAGCAAGUGAACAGGGAAGAGCCCAGCAUUGAAUCCCUGCCCCACAGUAGGGUGCAGGAAAUGUGGCAUAUUGAAGACCCACUCCCCGGUGAUGCUCAUGGGGGGCCCAAGUCCUUCUGAUUGAGGCCCAGCUCAUGGACGGUGUGAGGCUGGUAGUGGUCCCCAGUGUGCCAGGCCCAGGUCUUCCCAGAGUUGGGCUGCUUGGGAAUGCAGACGAAAGAGGGUGGUAAACUCCAUCUAUGGCUAAAUACUGGCAUGAGACCAAUAGUCAACAAGUACCAUAAGUGAAAGUUGAAAAGAACUUAGAAGAGAGACUUCAAGAGGGUAUGACCCGCUCUGGGGAUGGUAUCAAGUAGGGAGUUUGACUGGGGCAGUCAAGGCAUGUCUUACAU
rfam:Homo sapiens chromosome 5, GRCh38 reference primary assembly.